AACGAACGCUGGCGGCAUGUCUAACACAUGCAAGUCGAACGAGACCUUCGGGUCUAGUGGCGCACGGGUGCGUAACGCGUGGGAACCUGCCCUUAGGUUCGGAAUAACUCCCCGAAAGGGGUGCUAAUACCGGAUAAUGUCUUCGGACCAAAGAUUUAUCGCCUUUGGAUGGGCCCGCGUUGGAUUAGCUAGUUGGUAGGGUAAAAGCCUACCAAGGCGACGAUCCAUAGCUGGUCUGAGAGGAUGAUCAGCCACACUGGGACUGAGACACGGCCCAGACUCCUACGGGAGGCAGCAGUGGGGAAUAUUGGACAAUGGGCGAAAGCCUGAUACAGAAAUGCCGCGGGAGUGAUGAAGGCCUUAGGGUUGUAAAGCUCUUUUACCCGGGAUGAUAAUGACAGUACCGGGAGAAUAAGCUCCGGCUAACUCCGUG
rnacentral:rRNA from 1 species